rnacentral:tRNA from 1 species
ACCUUCGUGGUGUAAUGGUCAGCACACUGAGCCGGUAUUUCAGAGGUCCGCGGUUCGAUUCCCGGCGAGGGCG